rnacentral:rRNA from 1 species
GACAGCCAAAGAUUUAUCGGCUAGGGAUGGGCCUGCGUCUGAUUAACUGGUUGGUGAGGUAACGGCCCACCAAGGUGACGAUCAGUAGCCGACCUGAGAGGGUGAUCGGCCACAUUGGAACUGAGACACGGUCCAAACUUCUACGGAAGGCAGCAGUAAGGAAUCUUGCACAAUAGGGGAAACCCUGAUGCAGCAACGCCGCGUGAACGAUGAAAGGCUUAGGGUUAUAAAGUUCUGAUCUGGGGGAAGAAGGAA